CCUACGGGUGGCUGCAGUGGGGAAUAUUGGACAAUGGGCGAAAGCCUGAUCCAGCCAUGCCGCGUGUGUGAAGAAGGCCUUCGGGUUGUAAAGCACUUUCAGCGAGGAGGAAGGGGUUGUAGUUAAUAGCUGCAACCUUUGACGUUACUCGCAGAAGAAGCACCGGCUAACUCUGUGCCAGCAGCCGCGGUAAUACAGAGGGUGCAAGCGUUAAUCGGAAUUACUGGGCGUAAAGCGCACGCAGGCGGUUGGUUAAGUCAGAUGUGAAAGCCCCG
rnacentral:rRNA from 1 species